UAAGUUGGUUGUACUUGGACAUCAUAGCUGAAUUGCCUAACCUCGAGGUGCUGAAGCUGAUGGAUGGUACUUGUGUUGGAAAAAAAUGGUAUCCAAAUGUCAGGGCAUUUACUCGAUUGAAGCUUUUGUUAAUUGAAUAUAGUUUUCUCAAGUACUGGAAAGCCACAAAUGACAAUUUUCCUGUCCUUGAGCGCCUUGUGCUUAAAAACUGCCAUAAUUUGAAAGAGAUACCCAUUGAGUUUGCAGAAAUCCACACACUACAACUGAUUGAGUUAACAAGUUGUCUUCCCGAACUUGGGGAAUCUGCAGNNNNNNNNNNNNNNNNNNACUCUUUCUCAAUUCCACAAGUCAAGUUGUACACAAAAGUUAUUUAGCUUUGCUCCAUAUUCUUUCACAAAAUAACUUUGACAAAUUUGGUUAAAACCGUACUUAAAAUGUGAGAAAAAAUAACAAGAAUAUCCCUUAUAUUUGAGGGUAGUUCAAAAUGGCUCCUUAAAUAUAUUUUUGAGCAGUUUUGGUACUUUAGUUUUGUUAAAACUCAUGAGAAUACAUUAUGUAAAUAACUACUAAUCAGUUAGUUGGUACUGUUCCAUUGAUUUGUUAGCUAGUGUAUUAGGUGAUUAGUUAGUCGAAUCAGUUAGCUAGCUGUCAAGUUGAUUAGUGGCCCAAUCAAGUAGUAAGGAGGUUGUUAGGAAACUUCUAGAAGACCAUGUGUUGAUCAUGUGAGUCAAUAAAUAGGAGGUGAUCAUACAUUGUAUUGACUAACUUUUACUCUAAAACUGUAUUCCCAGUAACUUGUUCCCUUCUCUUAUCCCUUUGUUGAGCUCAAGCUCAGCUGUAAUGGCAGCAAUGUACGAAUGCUAAGAGGUGUUUUAACAUGGUAUCAGAGCCCGCGAUUAUGGGACUCAAGAAACAAGCUAUCGAGUAUAAAUGUAUCUGCAAUACAGUAAGUUUUGCCUGAGUUUUUGUUUGUGUGUUAGUGAGGUCAGAAGAACUUAGAUCUCUAUUUGUGAGCCAUAGAUCUAUAGUUGCAGGACAUAGAUUUCGAGUUUACUGUGUUGUUUUUGAUCCAAGAUUAGUUGUAAUCUAUAAAUUGGUUAUGGCACCUAAAAUUGAUUCUAGUGAUCCUCUGUUUCUGGGAGCAUCAGAUAUAGCAGGAGCUGCACUGAUUCCCAUCAAAUUAACUGGUUCAGAGAACUAUGGAAUUUGGUGUAGAUCUAUGAAGAUUGCCCUAUUGGGAAAGAGGAAAUAUAGAUUUGUAACUGGUACUUGUAGCAAGGAAAUAUAUAGAGAGGAGUUACAUGAUCAAUGGGAGACAUGUAAUGCAGUAGUACUCCCAUGGCUAAUGAGUUCAGUAAGUGCAGAAUUAUUCAGUGGUAUUGUAUAUGCAACAAAUGCUCAUGAAGUAUGGGUGGAUCUUAAGGAGAGAUUUGACAAGGUAAAUCACAUGAGACUAUACCAAUUACACAGGGAAAUCAAUAAUCUUCACCAAGGUACUGAUUCAGUUUCAACUUACUUUACUAAACUGAAGAACUUAUGGAGUAAACAUGAUGCAGUCAUACCAACUCCAUCAUGUAAUUGUCCUAAGUCGAAGGAGUAUGCAGAAUAUUUGUAUCAGUUAAGGCUAAUACAGUUCUUGAGUGGGUUAAAUGAUGCAUAUGAUAGGCAAAAAGACAAAUAUUGAUGAAAGGAAUAACACCUGCACUUAAUCAAGCAUAUGCAAUGAUCAGUGAGGAUGAAAUUCAAUAGCUUGCUUGUGCUACAACUAUUGGUGAUAAGACUGAACCUAUUGCUAUGCAAUUACACAGAAAAAAUGCAGAGGUUGGAAUGGAAGUAGGAAUCAAGCAUCAAUAAGUUUUGGAGGACAAGGCUAUAAAGGUAAAAGGUGUGAUUACUACAAUUUUACUGGGCAUACAAGGGAAAACUGCUACAAGUUCCAUGGAUAUCCAAGUGAUUGGAGGAACAAGAAAAGGGGAAUACCAAAUCAACCAUUUCAUAAUGGCCAAGGCAGAGCUGGUCAUGGAUAUGGACAUUCAAUUGCUGGUUACAACAACAGUCAGUCAUUAACUCAUAACAUCUCUGGUCCUUAAGCAGAGAACUCAUGCUUGGAUAAGCAAUCCAGUAGGUAGGGGGUAAAGACAUUAACAAUGCUACUUUGGCCAAGGGGGAAGGAUUAUCAGAGGAAGAAUACAAUCAGAUUAUAGCACUGAUUAACAAGGAAACACAUAACUCUGAACAGAACAACAUGACAGGUAAUGUUAGUUAUUUCUCUAGUCAUAUUAUUUCACAUGAUUGGAUAGUAGAUUCAGGAGCCACACACCAUGUAGCAGUACAUAAAGUUAUUUUCUCAUACUGUCACAAAGUGGAUAAUACCAUAUGUGACAAAGUUAAUCUGCCUACUGGAGCCAAGGUUGAAAUAACACAUAUAGGAGAAACACAGGUGCUGAAGGAUGAAGUUGUGGGGGAUGUACUGUAUGUUCCAGAUUUCAAACUGAACUUGUUCUUAGUAUCUAAAAUGACUAAGCAUCUUUCUUGCUUUGUUUCAUUUUACCCUGACUUCUGUGUGUUUCAGGACCUUCAUAGUGGCAAGGUGAAGGGGAUUGGUAAGGAGAAAGAAGGACUAUACAUCCUGAAGAAUGUGUGUGAAGUAAAUGGAACUCUUAACAAUAAGAAUCAUCAAAUAUAGGUUGCAGGAGUAGAAGUAGAAGUGCAGAUGCAUGGGUGUAGUCUAUGGCAUAAAAGGCUGGGACAUCCUUCUUCUCAAGCAUUAAAGAUUCUCAAUAUCAUAAGGCACAGUAGUGAUGUAGAUAUUCUAAAUAAGUGUCAUGUUUGUCCAUUAGCAAAACCAACUAGGCUAGUUUUUCCUAUCAUUACUUCCAAAGCUACAAGAUGUUUUGAUGUUGUACAUAUGGACCUCUGGGGUCCCUAUAAGACACCUACUUUUGACAAGAAAUACUAUUUCUUAACUGUUGUUGAUGAUCAUAGUAGUUAUACAUGGUUACAUCUAUUAUAACUAAAGUCUGAUUGCAUUGUAGCCAUAAAGAACUUCUUCACUAUGAUUUAGAAUCAGUUUGGUGUUCAGAUAAAGCUACUGAGGUCAGAUAAUAGGACAGAGUUCAUUAACUCUAAAUGCAAAGAGUUGUUUCAAUCCUUAGGAAUCAUAAAUCAAAGUAGAUAUCCAUACACACCACAACAAAAUAGUGUGGUUAAGAGAAAGCAUAGAUAGAUACUAAAUAUUGCAAGAGCAAUCAGGUUCCAGUCACAGAUGCCUAUUAGAUUUUGGGGGUUAAAUAUUAAAGCUGCUGUAUAUCUCAUUAACAUACUACCAUCUUCAUCCAUAGAAGGUAAAAGUCCUUAUGAGAUGUUGUUUUGCAAGGUUCCAUCCUUGACACAUCUAAGAGUGAUUGGAUGUAAAUUUUAUGCCUUAAUAUUGCCAAGAGGUGAUAAGCUUGUAGAAAGGGCCAAGAUUGCAGUAUUGAUGGGCUAUUCUGCAACUCAGAAAGGUUAUAAACUAUUAGACUGGUGUACUAAUAAGUUUUUUGUUACCAGAGAUGUAGUGUUCAAGGAAGAUUCAUUUCCUUUUAUAGAGGAGCCAAGUUCAGAAUCUUCUGUAGAAUUUCUUACACUAAGAUCUCCCACACAUGAUGAUGCAGAAGUAGAAGAAGAUGCAGACCGUCACACAGGUCCUAGUGAGCCUUUACACGAGUCACAAACUGAAGAUACAUCAAUACAUGAUCCUAAUGGCAUUUAAGAAGAAUACACUCAUAAUUUACAGAAUGUAGAAGAGUCACUCUCAGUACCCACAGAAGUUGAACUAAGAAGAUAAUUCAGAGCUACCAAACAACCUGUAUGGCUAAUGGAUUAUGCUUCACCAGGGAAGAGGAGAGGAAAUGGAUACCAACUUGCAAAUUACCUGUCUUAUGCUAAUACUAGUUCAAAAUAUCAAGAUUUUGUGUGCAGCUUGUCCGCAGAAGUUGAACCACAAUCUUAUAAUAAAGCUAGCAGAGAUAAGAGGUGGAUUGAAUCCAUGAAGUAGGAGGUUAAAGCUCUUGAAGAAAACCAUACAUGGGAAGUGGUUGAUAUGCCCUCAGAAAAGAACAUCAUUGGAUCAAAAUGGGUGUACAAAAUCAAGUAUAAGGCCAAUGAGGAAAUAGAGAGGUUUAAGGAAAGGUUGGUAGCCAAAGCUUAUAGUCAACUGGAAGAGCUAGACUACCAUGAUACAUUUUUUCCAGUAGCCAAAAUGGUUACAGUAAGGAGUGUCAUUGCCUUAGUAGUAUCAAAAGGGUGGUGCAUAUACCAGAUGGAUGUAUACAAUGCUUUCCUACAAGGUGACCUAGAUGAGGAGGUGUAUAUGGAAAUGCCAAAUGGUUUCAAGGAGGGAAGGCAACACAAAGUUUUCAGACUAAUUAAGUCUAUAAAUGGACUUAAGCAGGCAUCAAGGCAAUGGAAUAUCAAGCUGACUGCAGCAUUGCUCAGUGCAGGUUUUACCUAAAGCAUCUAUGAUUAUUCAUUAUUUACCCUGAAGAAGUCAGAAGGAAUAGUGGUGAUUUUAGUCUAUAUAGAUGAUCUUCUGAUAACUAGUGACAAUACAGACAUGAUCAAUGCAGUAAAAGGUACUUUGCACAAGCAAUUCAAGCUCAAAGAUCUAGGUGAACUUAAGUAUUUCCUAGGUAUUAAAGUGUUAAGAUCUGCCAGUGAAGUGAUUCUGAAUCAUAGAAAAUAUGUCUUGGAGCUCAUAUUCGAAACAGGUCUUGAUGGUGCCAAACCAGCCACCACCCCACUAGAGACUAAUGCUAAAAUAACUUCAGUUGAAGUAGAUAAAGCAGCAGGUGUGAAAGGAGAUGCCAUUCAAAGAGAUACAACAUCAUAUCAAAGGCUUGUUGGAAAACUGAUGUAUGCUACAAUAACAAGUCCUGACAUCAGUUAUGCAGUGCAGACACUAAGUGAAUUCAUCCAACAACCAAAGAAAUCCCACUUGGAAGCUGCAAACAGAGUGAUAAGAUAUUUGAAAGGAACUGUAGGACAAAGUAUAUGGCUUAAGACACAACCUACUGCAGAAUUGGUUUUUUGGUGUGACUCAGAUUAGGCUGCAUGUCCAAACACUAGGAGGUCUGUUACAGGUUAUGUGGUGUAGUUUGGUAGUUCAUUGAUAUCUUGGAAGUCUAAAAAGCAGCACACUGUCUCUAGAAGCUCAGCUGAGGCAGAAUAUAGGAGCAUGGCCUCAACAUUAGCAGAAGUGACAUGGUUGGAAGGUCUGUUCUCAGAACUGAGGGUGUCUAUCACUAAGCCUAUUGUCAUCUUUAGUGAUCAUAAGUCAGCCAUCCAACUAGCUGCUAACCCCAUAUUUCAUGAGAAAACCAAACACAUUGAAGUAGAUUGUCAUUUUAUUAGAGACAAGAUCAAAGAGGGGUUGGUUCAGCCCAUGUAUGUGCAGACAGGUCAACAAGUUGCAGACAUCCUUACUAAGGGUCUCAGUCAUGAUCAACAUUCAUACCUCCAUAGCAAGCUUGGUGUGCUCAAGAUUUUGCACCCUGCAGCUUGAGAGGGAGUGUUAAAACUCAUGAGAAUACAUUAUGAAAUAACUACUAAUCAGUUAGUUGGUACUGUUCCAUUGAUUUGUUAGCUAGUGGAUUAGGUGAUUAGUUAGUCGAAUCAGUUAGCCAGCUUUCAAGUUGAUUAGUGGGCCAAUCAAGUAGUUAGGAGGUUGUUAGGAAACUUCUAGAAGACCAUGUGUUAAUCAUGUGAGUCUAUAAAUAGGAGGUGAUCAUACAUUGUAUUGACUAACUUUUACUCAAAAACUGCAUUCCCAGUAACUUGUUCCCUUCUCUUAUCCCUUUGUUGAGCUCAAGCUCAGCUGCAAUGGCAGCAAUGUAUGAAUGCUAAGAGGUAUUUUAAUAGUAACCACCAUUUUUCUGCUUUUCGCUCGAGGACUAGACUUGGAUGAACCUCGUUAAAUACUUGUAUUAGGUUUUUUUGAGUUAAUGGCAAAAAACACAUUUGAACUAUCACCUGCCAUUAAAUUACAAUAAAAAUAAAAUGGAAAAUGAAUAGUAGAUGUUUGCUCUCUUUGUUUUCAUCUGCACACGAAUUUUAAGGUGCCGAUUGUAUAAAUUCUAGUAAAAUGAGGUUUACUUGGAUUCAACUCUUUUAUGAAAUAAUUGAAAUACUUUGUAUUAAUUUUAUCAAGGUAAGUAUAUAUUUAUGAAGGUUACACACUAUUUCUCAUUUCCACAAGUCACAUCAUACAGUGGUACAAUCACAUGAUGAUGAUGAUGAUGAAGAUUCAAAUGUUGAUGUUGCAGAACAUGAUGAUAAUUUAGAUCUUCGGUUGUUAUCUGUUCAGAAUAACCUGUAAUGAGAAUGGAAACUAUAGAUUAACAAUUUGAUACUGUUAUAGACUGUUGAUGCUAGUUCAUAACCCUAUGUUUUUCAUAAAUAUAAAUUUAUUACCAAUGUGGGACAAUUGGUUCAUAAAUUUUUACCCUCUUAUCAUUUCUCUAUUUUUCCAAUGUGGGACAAUUGGUUCAUAAUAGUAGCGUUAUUUAUUAGAUGUACGGGAAUGGGCAUUUAUAUGGUGAUUCUCUUGUCUUACUUUUUACUGUUGAUGUUAGGUACUUUUAACUGUUUGUAAAUGAAGCAUUACCAUCCGAAUUUGAGACUAUCGGGAAGCAGGUUAUAGACAAAUGUCAUCUCGAUUGUUGGGAUUUUGUCAAAAUCUAAAGACAUUGGAAGAUUCGAAAGAUGUCAAGUCAUUUGCAACAGAUGAUCCUGAUGAACAACGUUUACAUGUCUUCUGUUCUUUCGGAAUUUUUCAAAUAAGACAGUGAGAAUUCAGUGAAGAAAUUGGUGAGAUUAUGUAUAGAUAGGACACUGCACUCAUUCUGUUCUCUUUUUCCCUAUACAAGUUUAUGUUUUUUUCUCAUAAACUGUGAACCUUAAAUUCAGUUAUGCUAAUGACUUCAAAUGCAAGCAUUUAUAUCAGUCAUAUCCAUGCACCGAUACAUCAGAAAAGGAAACCGAGGUAGCAAAGACUAUUCAGUAGAUCGUGCAUAACCUAAGAACUUACUAAGAACUAGUUCAAUCUCUUAACUGAAUAACUCACUAAUUAAGUCGACACCUCUCGGUUCACUGACCUUAUCAAAAUGUAUGUUUUAGUUUUAAAAGCAAUUACUGAAAGCUCAUUUCGGAAUAUAUGUAAUAGCCCAAUAUAUAUUUUUAAAAUGAAGGAUUAAUUGGUAAUUUUAACCAAUUAUUAAUGUCAAUUAAGUGAAUUAAAUUGGGCAAGCCAAAAGCCGAAACCCUUUUUCUUCUUUAGUUUUUCCGUUACUGAAGGAUUAGAAUAUAAGGGUGUUUAGUUCCAUUAUUUUUGGUACAAAAAAAAAAAAAAAUUAGCACUAUGAGCUAGAAGUCUUUUUACUUUUGUUUGGGCCAUGGCGGCCAGUGCUCCUAAGAUCACAGAAGCAAUGCUGCAGAAAAAGAAGAUUUGUUGCACUGUAGCCCCAUAAGAACCAUAAAUAGAAACCCAUGAAAUAUUAGCAGAAAUAGAGAUUUUAGGCGCAAUUCAUAGGAUAUAUAUGAGUAAUUCAAAGGAAAUAUUGAAAUAUUUGAUAGGAUUGGUUAUGUUAGCAGAUAGAUUAAAGAUGUGAACACCGUAACUUCUCCUGCCAUAUGAAGGAACUCUUCUCUUAAGGCAUAACUUUUUGUGAGUUCAAAGACGGCAGAAACUGUUUCAAGUGAGAAGCAGUAGGUAUGUAGAAUUAGUUCUAAUUCAAAUUAGCACUAUGCUAUGGUAGUGGUAUUCUUGUCGAAGAAUUGUUAUGUAUUAUUCGAGAGAUGAUGGUCCAUCAUUAUGGGUAGCUUGAAUUAGUACGCAUCUUACAAAAUAGUAAAGUAUGGUCUCUGAUUUGUAUCUUUGAGCUACUGCUUGUUGGAAAUUGUUGGAAAUUAUUGAUUUUCACCUUGAAUUGCCUAUACAAAGUGGAGUAUUAAUAUUAUUGAACACGAGUAUGAUUUCAACUAGCAUAAUUGAUUUUAUUAAUUAAUAUAUUUGCUUAGAUUGAAGCCAUUGGAGUCUAUUUGGUUGAUGUUCUACGAGUUGCGAGGUUGGGAAAAGUGUUGUUAGCGAGGGUAGUGAGACUUCAAGCUUUGGUGCUUGCUUUUUAAAUCAGCUUUAUAAAAAAAUGUAUUUUUCUACCUAGUCCAUGUGUUGGGACAAGAGUGUUCUUGGUAGAAUUGGUGGUCUUUGAUCAACUGCGGAUAUAUAUUUUGUUAUGCAUAUUGAGAAUCAUUUGAUGGUGAGUUGUGAGGUGAUGUUGGGAUAUUGGAUAUAUUUACAAGGAGAAUAUAUGUGCUGACGUAAUAUAUUAGGGGCAUACCUAUGCUGCCGUAAUAUGUUAGGGGCCUUGUACUUGCUGUCAUGAUAUAUUUACUAGGGGCAUACAUGUGCUGCCGAAAUAUGAUAGAGGCAUACCUAUGCCGCCGUAAUAUGUUAGGGGUCUUGUACUUACUGUCGUAGUAUACUUUUGGGGCAUUAUAUAUGUUGUCGUGGACUUGUCGGGGUGCUAGGCUGAUCACCUUCACUGUCGUUUAUAAAAAGCCGUGAGAGUGGAUUGCGUUGAGAGAUACAUAGUGACUUUUGAAAUGUUUGUUGAACCUUAUUGAGCAUUAUAUUAUAAGAUAUAUGUUGUGCAUAUCAUUUAUGUAAUCGUUGUGCGUUGUAUUUUCUAAUACUUAUUUCAGGGGUAUUAAAUUAGCAGGUCGGGGAUCUUAGUAGGUUAUAUUUAUAUAUAGCUCACUCCUUACUUUACUUUCAUGUCUGCAGAUACUUUGUGGAAGGUGAGAUUAGUGGCUAAUGGUCCAUUUGUGAGGAUAUUAUGUUGCUGAGGUGAGUCUUCACAUUGUUCGGCGGGGCUGUCGUUUCAGAUCGAGCUAUUUUAGCUUAUAUUUCUCUUCAUUGGUUUGCAUGCCUGAGAGUUGAAAUUAUCUAUCUCUAUUUUAGAUGCUUCAUGAUCUUAGCGUGGAAUUUCGGCUAGAGAAUAAGUUCUCGAGUCCAUUGCGUUUUGCACCCUAAUGUAUGACCUCUUUUGUGAUUUACACCCUAAGCUCUUAUCUUUCUUGCAAAAUAAUGAAACUACUCUUUUUCUAUAUUUUGCACGAUGGCAAAAUUGCAAUAUGAAUAUAUUUUAAAAAAAAAUAGCAUAGAAUUAUUUUUAAAAAAAGUGCUAAAUUAACCAAUUAAAAGGUCCGAUUCAAUAAAUAAUUUUGUAAAUGUUCCUUCUAUGGGUGAAAUCUUAUUAUUAAAAUUUUAAUUAGUGAUAAAAUGGAUAAACGAUUUAUUCUGAGAACUAAAACAAUUAGGUCUCUCUUAUUACUAUUUUCACAUAGAAGAAGAGAACAAAUUUUGAAUUUGGUUAGAUUAAGAUCUUCUAUUGUAUCACUAUCGAUCAGUUAUUUUUAUGACUCAUCACUUUUUGUAUGAUAUUUAAUAUAAGCUCAUAUAAUUUUUUACUAAAAUGGAUGAAAGCUUAUAAGGUCAUUAAAACUUUAAUUAGGUAUCUCGAGUAUGGGAACUCCUGAAGCAGCUACGACUUCCUCAAGACCUCGUUAUGCGUGCACCUGCUGAUCAAACUUCUGUGUACAUCAAAGUUUUUUUAAUUCUUAGAUUAUCCAACAACAAAAAAAAAAUAAUCAUCAAUGCACUUUUAUAUGCAUCAAUAUUAUUCAUCUGGUUUAUAUAUGCAAUGUCAAAAGCUGCCAAGCGAAAAGUGGGUAUUUGAUUUGUAGUUUAGAAUUGUCAUCUGAGGUAAACUUUUAUGUGGUUUUGACAUAAAGCUUUCUGAGUUACCCAUAAUCUUUAGAGAGCUGGGAAGAAUGUUGAUCCCGUGAAAAUGACAUAGACAAUCAUUUUUUAUUUAACAGUUUCUCUAGUUUUGUGCCUUUUUUUAGGAGAAAAAAAUAUUUAUAUUUCAAUUUUGCCCUCGUGGAAAAUUUUUUAAAAGAGUAAGUUUCAUUAUUUUGCAAGAAAGAUAGAAGGUUAGGGUGCAAAUUAUAAAAUAAAAUAGGAUAGGGUGCAAAUCACAAAAGAGGUCAUACGUUAGGGUGCAAAACGCAAUGAACUCCUAGUUAUUGAUGCGUUAGAGUUGCACAUAUCUUAGUGCUUAUUAAUUGAAAAAGUGUAAGGAAAGUUGGUUGUCCCAACAGGUGGUAUUAGCGGGUGCUAGUCAGGUCUAGGAAUUAUUUUGGGACGUGACAAUAUAGCUAGAAGGAUUGAAAUUCAAGAUUUUACUGUUUGAACUUUAAAUUUUACUGUUACAAUACUAUGUUUUAGCAUUAUUCUCUAACUUCCAAGGAGAUGUAAUUUCUCUAUAUUUUAAAUAAGGGGGCAUCUAUUUCUCGACCGCUUUGAACUGUUUAUCUUUUGCCAAGGUUCUAACGGAAACAUCGUCUCUACCUCUGACGGUAAGGUUUGCGUAUACUCUACCCUCCCCAGAUCCUACUAUAUGUAUAAAGCACUACAUUUUGUAGAAAUAAAGGACCAUUCAUUAUAUUACAGGGGCCUUAGUGAACCUACUAUGUAAAGUUAAGGGACUGUUUGGGCUGAUAAAUUCUGCAGAUAUAAUUUCAGCCACUCAAAUGUUAUCUUGUUUAGGUACUUUUAUCUUUUGUUCUUUAUACAUUUGUUUAUUGUUACUCAUAAUAUUGUCAUUUAUUCUUUCCUUUUCUCAAAUACCUUUUUCAGUGAUUUUGAAGCUGUCAGAUCUGCCAUUGAAAGGUUAGUUUCCAUUAAUUAUUCUCUCAUUUUAUUAAAGUUUUAGAGUAAAAAACACUUGUAGUGGCUUAUCAAUGUAUAAUUUAGCUAUGUUUCUCCAACUCCUGAAAAAUAACCACAAUCUAUUUUGCGUACUGGGAGUUAAAUUAUUUUUACACGUUAAAUGAGCUAAAGCUAGGACUAAACUCACUGUUGUAACAUAACUGACCUGAACAUGAAACAGACUAAUAAAUCGCCUGAUCUUGUUUGGUUUAUGCUUUCCUUUUUUGCCAAUCUGCGUAUCGCGUUAUUUAUAAUACCAUUGACAUCUUGCAACCCUGCAGGUUUCAGGUCAUAACCGCAAACGAAAGAAACGAGAAUACAGUGGAUAUGGCUCAUGCAAGUGUGGCUUCUCUUAUGAGAACAAUAGAAUCGCUCUUGACGUCCAAUUCACCAAUGCAAACUCUAAUCUGUGAUCACAGAGACGAAAUUUGCGCUCUUCAUGAAAAGAUUAGUUCCCUGGAAGUAUUUCUCAAGAACUUUGAGAAAAACAAUGUUUCUGGGGAACUGACAGAUUUGGAAGUGCAGAUAAAAGAAGUUGCAAAUAUUGUUGAACAAACAAUUCAACUAAGAGUAACUGAAGUUGUAUUGAAAAGGCACAUGAGAGUAAAGGCACAUGACAGGCUUUCUGAUAGCCUGCAACAAGUAGCAGAGGAUAUUGAUCGUAUUUGGAAAGAGUCGACAAAUAUCCAGGAUAAGGGCAAACAUGCAUCAAAGGAAUCAACGGUUCAAGAGUUUCUAAGCUCAUCAAGAAAUAUUCUGAAUGUUGAGAAUAGUAUGGUUGGACGUGAUGAUCAAAGGAAAGAGUUGGUAGAAGAUCUUACUAGAAGCUACUGUGGUGAACCCAAAGUCAUCGCGAUUGUCGGGAUGGGUGGCAUAGGUAAAACAACCUUAGCGAACGAAGUUUACAAUGAUGCGUGCAUUCGUUCUCAUUUUGAUGUUUGUGCCUGGGCUACUAUUUCGCAACAGCACAAUGUAAAAAAAAUCUUGUUGAGCCUUCUGCGUUCUACUAAGAGUGAUUCAUUUGACAUGAACAAUGAAGCAGAGCUUGCGAAUAUGCUACAAAAGAGUUUAAAGGGUAAGAGAUAUUUAAUUGUAUUGGAUGACAUGUGGAAAACUGAAGCAUGGGAUGCCGUGAGACUAUGCUUUCCAAGUGAAAACAAGGGGAGUGGAAUAUUAUUGACGACCUGUAACAUUGAAGUAGCUCGCGAUGCUGGUACAGAGAAUCUUUCUGCAGAUGGAUUUAAUGGGUCCAGAUGAGAGUUGGAACCUUUUCAAAAGUGUUGCAUUUGCAAAUGAAGCAUUACCAUCUGAGUUUGAGACUAUUGGGAAGCAAAUUGCAGAGAAAUGUCACGGGUUACCACUAACUAUUGCCGUGGUUGCUGGGCUUCUCAAAUCUAAAAGGGUAGAAGACUGGGAAAAUGUUGCUAAAGAUGUCAAGUCAUUUGUCACAAAUGAUGUUGGAACGAUGUUCACGUGUGCUUAGGUUGAGUUACAAUCACUUGACUAGCGAUCUUGUCUAAUGCAUUUCGGAAUUUUUCCAGAAGACAGUGAGAUACCAGUGAAGAAUUUGAUGAGAUCAUGGAUGGCUGAGAGGUUCCUAAAGUUUGAAAAUGACUUGGAAGGAGAGGCUGAGAAGUGUUUGCAAGAGCUUGUCGAUAGAUGUCUAGUCCUCAUCUGCAAGAAAAGUCUAGAUGGAACAAAAAUUAGAUCAUGUAAAGUUCAUGAUCUAAUAUAUGACCUGUGCUUGAGAGAAAUUGAAAGGGAGAACAUUUUUAUCAUGAACGACAUUGUGCUUGAAUUUGAUUCAGGAUGGACAUAUCUCAGUUUGCGAGAAAUGAAGCUCUUUAAACGCGUGACUGGUGAUGAAAUUGAUUAUUGUCGCUCUGGUCUUUAUAGGGCUCUUCUUACCCCUGUACAUCGUCAGUUGAGAGAUCAUGACAACAACAAUCUUUUCAAUCGAACCCGUUCUAUUUUCUCUUUUUACCCCUGUACAUCACAUCUUUUUCGCAAAUCAGAGCUUAUUCAUUUCAAAUUACUCAAAGUCUUGGAGUUGAGAAACAUAAAGAUGGAUCAUUUCCCUGUACAGAUUCUAAGCCUCAUCUGGUUGAGAUACCUAUUAUUGGAUUUCCGUGAGUAUUUAGACAUUCAUUGUUCAAGGGCCUAUGCUAUGGAAAAUAACUUAUCCUGAGGAAAUUUUGGGACUAAUGCAAUUGAGACAUCUCAAACUGCCCGAAUUUUAUCUGCCAAAUCCUCCAAGCGUAUCUGCUGACAAAGGGAGUCAUGUGUGUUUUUCAAACAUACAAACUAUUUCUUCCAUGUCUCCAUGUUGUUGCACGAAGGAGUUUAUUAUGAGGAUUCAAAAUGUCAAAGAAUUAGGACUCAGUGCAUAUCAGAUUGACUCUUCUGAUGGGCCUCUCAACAGUCUUGUCCAUCUGCAGCAACUUGAAACAUUGAGUCUUACAUAUCGUUUUGGAGGAUUUUGGCCAGCAAGUGCAAAAGCUUUUCCAGCAACGCUCAAGAAGCUGAAGUUGGACAAAACUUAUCUAAGUUGGUCGUACUUGGACAUCAUAGCGGAAUUGCCUAACCUUGAGGUGCUGAAGCUGAUGUAUCGUGCUUGUGAUGGCGAAGAAUGGCGUCCAACUGUUAUGGGAUUUAAUCGAUUGAAGCUUUUGUUAAUUGUACAUAAUGAUCUCAAGUACUGGAAAGCCACGAAUGACAAUUUUCCUGUCCUUGAGCGCCUUGUGCUUAAAGAAUGCCAUUAUUUGAAAAAGAUACCCAUUGAGUUUGCAGAAAUCCACUCAC
rnacentral:lncRNA from 1 species